UACGUAGGGGGCAAGCGUUGUCCGGAAUCAUUGGGCGUAAAGAGCGUGUAGGCGGCCAGAUAAGUCCGCUGUGAAAUCUCGAGGCUCAACUUCGAGCUGUCGGUGGAAACUGUCUGGCUAGAGUCCGGAAGAGGAGAAUGGAAUUCCUGGUGUAGCGGUGAAAUGCGCAGAUAUCAGGAAGAACACCCGUGGCGAAGGCGGUACUCUGGAACGGUACUGACGCUAAGACGCGAAAGCGUGGGGAGCAAACAGG
rnacentral:rRNA from 1 species